rnacentral:rRNA from 1 species
ACGAAGGGUCCAAGCGUUGUUUGGAAUCAUUGGGCGUAAAGCGCGCGCAGGCGGAUUGGCAAGUCAGGUGUGAAAUCUCGAGGCUUAACCUCGAAACUGCGCCUGAAACUGCUAGUCUAGAAUGUCGGAGGGGGUAGGGGAAUUUCACGUGUAGGGGUAAAAUCCGUAGAGAUGUGAAGGAACACCGGAGGCGAAGGCGCCUACCUGGACGACUAUUGACGCUGAGGCGCGAAAGCGUGGGGAGCAAACAGGA